GCCCCGAUGGUGGAAUAGGUCUGCCGACUGCGAUAGCAGACACGCCGGUCUCAGAAGCCGGAGCCGUCAACGGCAUGCAGGUUCAAGUCCUGCUGACUGCAAGUCCUGCUCGGGGCACCA
rnacentral:tRNA from 1 species